rnacentral:lncRNA from 1 species
GUUGCGUCUGUAGGCACAUGCUUUGCCUGCUCGGGGCAAUGAUGCUGCUCAUUUCAGCUUAAAGGCAUGGGGCAUUUCCAGGUACCAGCAGUUCAUUUCAGGGGGGUUGCAUGCUCCCCUAAUCAGUUGCCCUGCUAAGUAAGUUUGCCUUUCACCACCCUAGUAAAGCAAUGCCUCCUGGAAUCAUAGAAACCCCUCUUUGCAAGUUUGCAUUUAAGUUCUGUGUGUUUCUAUUGAUUUGAAUGGAGAAAUGGUUGCCAGGAAACAUGACGAGGCAAAGACAAGAAAGAUACAGCCUAAGAAGAUAUUAAGUGAAAGCUUUCCAAGGAGUGAUAAGCUCUGGAGACUGGUAAUCCUGAUGAGCUUACAAGAACUGAUAGACUCCAGAGCCUGAUGUUGAACAAGGCUGCCAGCAAACAUCAGCAUCUUCAGCAGGUUGUAUAACUCAGAUCACACCCACGAGGGCACUGGCUGCUGCAUGCAAGUGAAGACUAUGGAGUUACGUAUGCACCUGGUGAAACAAAGCGCCCUCUGAAGGGAUUUCUAAACACCUGCCUAGAACCCACUGGUGCAUCAGGAUGACCUCCUGCUUCUGAGCAAACACGUUGGGGUUGGCCUCCCAGCUCCAGCUGGGCAACAACAGUGAAUGUGUCUCCACAGGUGAUGCCUCAAGGCUGCUGCUGAUGUCCAGGGAAACUAUGCAGAUUCAGCACUCCUAAUGUGGAAAAACAACCACGUGUUACAAAUUGCAUCGCGCCAAAAAAGAUAGCAGCAACAUUUUUACCUUGCAAGCCUC